CACGCUUAAUUAAGUUAUUUAAAAUGAGAUUAAUCUGUAAUUAAUCUGGCACGAGAGAUGCGUGGCCUAACUAAACCGCACCAUCCGCUUAACCAACCCGGUUCGCCUCCUCCGGUCAACGGUCAACGGCCUGCCAUGCAAACCCCGACCUAAACCUCGCCAUGGAUUCCUCCACUAUAUAAGCUGCCGCGCGUCGCCGAGCUGCACGACGGCAGGCCGGCGGCGAGGAGGAUACCAGCAGGAGCUGCUAGCGUCGACGGCAAUGGGCUGCCACCACCGCCAGCUGGUCAAUCGGCCAUUGCGGCGCCUCGCCGCGCUCGCGGCGGCGCUCUGCGUCGUCGUCGCGGCGACGCACGGGCGCGGUUNNN
rnacentral:lncRNA from 1 species